UGGUGACAGUUUCAACACAUAUGUAUAAAAAUAGCUGAAUAGUGGAGGAAAGCACAUUACUCCAGGGGAGGAGUCGGUAACCCUCGACAACGGUGGUUUUACUUCUCUGGAGCUAAACAGCAGAACACUCAACACCAAGAACUCCUUCCUCAAAAAGAAUGGGAACAGAUCUCCACCCAGGCCCAGUCCAGGUGGGCUCCACUAUUCUGAUGAAGAUAUCUGUAACAACUAUAACGGAGCAGUGCUCACUGAAAGCACCACACUCACAGAGAAACCCACUGAGGUCUCUGAAUCAGAGCUAACGGACAGCGACUACGAGGAUGAACAGCCAAAGCACUCCUUUGUCAACCACUACAUGAGCGACCCCACUUACUACAACUCCUGGAAACGGCAGCCCAAAGGCCUCAAAGGGACAGGGAGUCCUUUUGCUUACGACGAGUGUGCCACCGCUGACACAGAGCCCUACUAUCAGACGGUGGUGACACAGCACAGCGCAGGGGGAGCUUACACACCCACAGGGCAGCCCGCGCACACACACAUCAAUCCCAACGCCAACCCACCGGGGUCACGCACUCCUGUGACAGGGUUUUCUUCCUUCGUUUGACUCUAGAGACAGUGUUUGCACAAAAAUGCACAAACACACACACACACACACACACACAUGCACACACACACACCCACACAUGGAAGAAAGGGGGUGCUGCCAUGUGUUUGGGCUGAAGGAACUGGGAACAAAGGAGCCGUCAUGCCCCAAAGAACUAAACUCACACUCCUUACUCGCCUUCGUCUCUGCUCAUGAAGACCCUGUGUUCAGUGUGUGCUCUUUUUCUUAGUGUGCUUAAAUGCACCAUUACAUCCUCAUUUUUCACAAAUUCUCACCAGCUUACUCCUGUCUACUCCAGAGACUCUCCACAGAGAGCCGUAACGACUGUAUUUAUGUGUUGAGCCCAUUAAUGUCUUGCUAAGACCCCCCCUGGAGCUAAAGGAAGCUGGAACUUCUGCACAAAACUUCUCGUCUGUUUUCUGUACCUACACUUAAGUGUACAAGUCCCCACUUAACACCAUCUCUGAUGCACUAUUUCAGCAUCUCCAGCUGAGAGAUGGGAACUUAAAGGCUGUGGGGGGGAAAAAAAAAAACUACACACAAGUGAGCAGCUUUUUUCUUUUCCACAGACUGAUCCAUGCACACAAACGCAGCGCUGCCAGCUUUCAGAUACCACAGCAGGCAAGAGAAGAAAGGAGAAAAAUGUUUGAUAAUCACAGCUUUUUGAAUCUGAAAUGGACAGAGAGUGAGCAUGAGCAGAUGUUUUUCAGCACUUACCUGCAAUGUCAGAGCGUUGAGCAGUUUGGGAUAGUGAUUUUUGAAUUGAAAUACAGUACUUUGAAAUAUGUUCACAUUUUGUCACAUUGCAACCUCAAAAUUCAGCUUGUAUUAUUAGGAUUUUGUAUGACAGACUAUUACAAAGUGGUGCAUACUUGGAAAAUUGAAAGAAAAAGGAUAGUUUGCAAACUUCUCAAAGAAAAACAAAGUGUGCUACACAUUUGUAUUCAGUCUCCUUGCAUCAGAACUUUUGCUGCAGCCACAGCUGCACAACUUGCAAAUCUACAGAUUAAAAGUAGUAAAAACAUCUGCUGCUCAGACAGGAUGGAGAGCAGCUGUAAACAUCCUUUUCAAGUCUUGGAUUAAAUUUACAUCUGGACUUUGACUGAGCCAUUCAUGAUAAGACACGAUCUAAACCAUGUGUUGUAGCUCUGGAUGUUUGCUUAGGGAGGUGCGGUUGGGAGGCUAACCCUAGCCCUUUUUUUGCUAUCCUGUUUCUGCUGGAGAAGCAUCCCCAAAAAAUAAUGCUGCCACCGUCCUGUGAGUGCAUUCAGGUUGAUGUGCAGUUUUAGUUGUCUUAUAACCCCAACUCCAAUGAAGUUUCAACCUAUAUUCAGUUCAAUUCACUACAAAGACACAAUAAUGUUCAAACAGGUAAACUUUUUUUUCUCCUAAUGUUCACUUAUUUGGAUUUGAUGUCUGCAACACAUUCCAAUGAAGUUGAGACAUUGUUUUACACAGUAACAUCCGAACAUCACUAGAAUUGGGUUUAUUUAAACAUUAUAUUUACAAUUUACAUUACAUGUAAAUUUUGGGAUCAUCUGACAUCAUCCACAGGUUUGCUUUGGCCUCUAUGCUGGUUCUAUUUUUAGUUGGUGGACUGAACAGAGCUCUGUGAGUUUUUCAAAAAUUGGGAUUGUUUUAUAAACCAACCCUGCUUUAAACUCCUCCACAGCUUCUCCAUGACCUGUCAGCUGGGUUCUUUGGUCUUCAUGCAUUUAUACUAACAAGAAAUUACUCCCAGGUGGACUACAUUUACUAAGUAUUUGACACUGGAUUUUAUUUAUGGGUAUCAGAGUGAAGAGGGUUAAUA